rnacentral:misc_RNA from 1 species
GAUGAAGAACGUAGCGAAAUGCGAUACGUAAUGUGAAUUGCAGAAUUCAGUGAAUCAUCGAGUCUUUGAACGCACAUUGCGCCCGCUAGUAUUCUGGCGGGCAUGCCUGUCCGAGCGUCAUUUCAACCCUCGGGAGCCCCUUUGCGGGGGCUGCCGGUGUUGGGGAUCGCCCGCCGCCAUGGUGGACGUCCCCUAAAACGAUUGGCGGUCUCGCUGUAGCCUCCUCUGCGCAGUAGCACUUGUUCUCGCAGGCGGAGCGCGGCGCGGCCAAGCCGUUAAACCCCCAACUUUUUUACUAGGUUGACCUCGGAUCAGGUAGGAAUACCCGCUGAACUUAAGCAUAUCAAUAAGCGGAGGA